ensembl:snoRNA
AUCCUCCGGUAGUUCAUGAGCAUGAUGACUGGGCGGUUCAUGCACCUGCAUGAGAUGUGCCACACUCGAAACUUGUUACCUUGUCUGCACAAUGGGCAUCUGACC